UCUUUUAAGUGGGAAUUGGCGAGAAGGGUCCAGCUGCAGGCUUGGGCGUUCCCGUCAUGACACAAAAACGCCCAUCGGGCGUUCCCGUCAUGACACAAAAACGCCCAUCAGGCGUUCCUGUAGCGUUUCAUCGAUCACUCAAGAAGAGUACCCUGGCACAUGCUUUGUCCAAUGGACCAUGGAAGGGACUUUACUUGGCUGACGAGGACGCACCUCACCAGUAUCAGAGCAACAGCUGUGGGGUGUUUAUGCUGAUGUACGCAAUGUAUUCUACCCUCAAAAGCAAUAUGAUUUCAGUGAGGUGAGUUCUUUCUAAUCUCAAUCAGAUGUGUAGCAUGAAAUAUAAGGCUUUUAAUAAUUUAGUCAUCCUUACUGGAGGCUACAAUUAACAUGCAUCAUAGGUCAUACACAUUACUUUGUCUUCAGGUACUGCACUUACGGGAGGAGAUGGCUACAUCUUCACAAUAAUUUACACUGCCAUAGUACACUGCUAAACAGUACUGUAACAUGGAUUUGUAUUGGGCUAUGAAGUCAUUUAAAGCAUAAUUUUACUUUUCAGGGGGACAUGCUCUCUAUCAGGAGGUGGUGGUUUGACAGCUGUUGGAGACCUUUAUGCUUGAAAGGCUAGCCCUGCAGAACUAGCUGGCUCCUUCUCACCCUCUCCAUCUCCCCAUCUCAGUCACACCUUCCAAUCACUAAGCAGUGAAAGCCCUGCAGGACUAGCUGGCACACCAAGCUCACCCUCUCCAUCUCCCCAUCUCAGCUACACGCUCCAAUCUGGCACAACAGAGGACAGGCCAUUCUUACCACCCGAAGUCCUUCAGCAAAUUGUACAAGAGACGCUGAGACUGGACAUGGCGAUGCUUGGCGUGUUCAACAGGGUUUCAAACACAUUCCGAGAACUUAUCAAGCCUCUCCAUCAUUCCAUAUAUAUAAAUGACAGUUUGGCAGGGGACAUUAAGCUUAAUAAAGACAAUCUCAUAUACAUAACGGUUAGAAAGAUGUACAACAAUGCAGGCUGUGUCAGUGGCCUUGCGCUACGCCUCAAAGGCUUCUCAAAAAAGAAGAAUUGGCCUAGCGCACCCCUGGUACUGAGGCACGUUGUAUAUGCCAGGUUUGUCAUAAAAGAUGUCUGCCUAGCAUAAUGUUCUUUUAUUACUCCUUUUUCGUUUUAUUUGGGACGUCUUUUUUUGCAAUCCCUUUCAUUUGUAAAUGUACAUACUACUGUAGUAAAUGUAUCUGCCCAGAAAUGCUGGUAUUUUAUUACUCCUUUCUUUUUUGUUUUUGUGACAAAUGCUAUACGAUGUAUGUAACAUACAUUUGUGCCUACGAUGUAUGUUGUAAGGUUAAUUGUUACAGAGCAAUUACUGUAUUUUGUCUUUAUUGAAAACAUUCAGUGGGAAAAGUAAGUGAACACUUGGAGUCAAAUGGCCUACUGUUUGAGCCUUCAUAGUGUCUGGUAACUGGAUUUGAACUGCAUAAUGUCCCAAGUGUUAUUUUAAUCUAUUAAUUAUUUAAUUUGGGCAUAUUCUUAAACUAUACCAAACAUCUCACUUAUACCUAAUACACUACCUAUACUAACCCAGAAGAUAAUGAACAUGAGAUCAUGGAGCCUCCCUCCCUGUAAUGAUCGGGUUGCAUCAAGUUUGAUGCAAAGUUUGGGCCGAGAUUCGACACAUAAAAGUAAGCUAACAUUCUGUAGGCCUAGCUGGCUAACGUACCCGUAUUACGAGAUCGAAGAAGAAGGGGGCGCUAACGUCAGUUUUAUGCUGCCCAUACUACUAGAUCGACGAAGAAGAACGGGGCGUUCCAGCCUGCGUAAACGAGAACGCCCAACACACGAGAACGCAGGGGGGGGCGUUUUAGUCUGCGUGAACGGGAACGCCCACGACACGGGAACGCCCAUUUGUGUCUGCAGUCGGAUGAU